ACUAUCUACUGUUCAGGCACGAG
rnacentral:piRNA from 1 species